AGUGAACGCUGGCGGUAUGCCUAACACAUGCAAGUCGAACGGCAACACAGUAAGAUUUCUCUCCUACGGUUGGCGAGUGGCGGACGGGUGAGGAGUACAUCGCAUUCUACUUUUUCGUGGGGGAUAACGUAGGGAAACUUCCGCUAAUACCUCAUACGUCCUACGGGUGAAAGCAGUAGAUCUUCGGACCUUUCGUGUCUCAAUUAGCCGAUGUCGGAUUAGCUAGUUGGCUAGGUAAAGGCUCACCAAGGCAACGAUCCGUAGCUGGUCUGAGAGGAUGAUCGGCCACACUGGAACUGAGACACGGUCCAGACUCCUACGGGAGGCAGCAGUAGGGAAUAUUGGGCAAUGGGCGAAAGCCUGAUCCAGCCAUACCGCGUGAGUGAAGAAGGCCUUCGGGUUGUAAAGCUCUUUUGUUGGGAAAGAAAAGAAGCAGGUGAAUACACGGCUGUUCUGACGGUACCCAAAGAAUAAGCACCGGCUAACUUCGUG
rnacentral:rRNA from 1 species